UACGGGAGGCAGCAGUGGGGAAUAUUGCACAAUGGGCGCAAGCCUGAUGCAGCCAUGCCGCGUGUAUGAAAAAGGCCUUCGGGUUGUAAAGUACUUUCAGUCGUGAGGAAGGUGUUAAGGUUAAUAACCUUAGCAAUUGACGUUAGCGACAGAAGAAGCACCGGCUAACUCCGUGCCAGCAGCCGCGGUAAUACGGAGGGUGCGAGCGUUAAUCGGAAUUACUGGGCGUAAAGGGCACGCAGGCGGUUAAUUAAGUUGGAUGUGAAAUCCCCGGGCUUAACCUGGGAAUGGCAUUCAAGACUGGUUAGCUAGAGUCUUGUAGAGGGGGUAGAAUUCCAUGUGUAGCGGUGAAAUGCGUAGAGAUGUGGAGGAAUACCGGUGGCGAAGGCGGCCCCCUGGACAAAGACUGACGCUCAUGUGCGAAAGCGUGGGGAGCAAACAGGGAUUAGAUAC
rnacentral:rRNA from 1 species